CAGUCGCCACGGUAAUACGGAGGGGGCUAGCGUUGUUCGGAAUUACUGGGCGUAAAGCGCACGUAGGCGGCUUUGUAAGUUAGAGGUGAAAGCCUGGGGCUCAACUCCAGAAUUGCCUUUAAGACUGCAUCGCUUGAACGUCGGAGAGGUGAGUGGAAUUCCGAGUGUAGAGGUGAAAUUCGUAGAUAUUCGGAAGAACACCAGUGGCGAAGGCGGCUCACUGGACGACUGUUGACGCUGAGGUGCGAAAGCGUGGGGAGCAAACAGGAUUAGAUACCCCCGUAGUCCCUGUCUCUUAUAC
rnacentral:rRNA from 1 species